UUCCUUGGCAGAAGAUGAGGGGAUCACAUGGCUGAGUGACCGGCGUUUUCUGAAUCAUGGAGUGGAAAGAAACACUACCCACAGAACCAGCACACAGGGCCUCUGUUGCAAGCCUGGGUAACAACUCGGCGGGGAAGUGAUUCAUCCGAGCCCACCCCACGUGCACACACGUGUUGGAGCGAGGGCAGUGCGGUGCUCGCCCUGCGCCGUGACUAAUGGGGCUUCUCAGACAGAGGGCAGCCCGGACCCCUCCCAGGCACAGCAGGGAGCCUGCUCCCCAGGGUCUGGGGCUGCCAGAGGGGUGUCUGGGGAGGUGUCAGGCAGCAGCUGGGGACAGAAAGUGAGGAGGGUGGAAGACCCGGGGGCAGGGGGAGAUGCGGGAAGAAACUAGGCAGACAGGCGAAGGGAGAGUAUGGGCAGCCCCUCCUGAAAACCAGGAGCUGGCUCUGACUCCUCCACUUCGCAUCCCUGGAGCCCACCCAGAGCCCACCAGCUGCAGGAGACACACGCUCACCCAGGUCAGAAGAGCCCGAGCGAAUAAUUCACCUGUUUGUGGGGUCCUUCUGAAGCCCGUCCCUGACUUCCUCCUCCCAGGAGCCCUAAGAGCACAUCCGCAAACCCAUAUGGCAGAGUCUGCACAGAGCCCCUCUUGUCCAGGCGCUGUCUUUCACAUACGUGAUCUAACUUCAUCAUCGCAGCAACAACGCAAAGAGAUAAAUGAGUUUGAGCUUGUAAACAUCAAACUUUCUAGAAAGAAACCGUGA
rnacentral:lncRNA from 1 species